GUUGGCUGAAGCUGACUUUGAAUUUGAGAUUCUCCUGCCUCAGCCUCCCUAGCUGCUGGGAUUAUAGGAGUAUGCCUUCAUGCCUGGCUUGCUAAUGACAUUUGUAAACUGAGAUGUGCUAUAAGUGGGUUAUAAGGACUUUAGGACCUUCUGAAGUUUUAUGCAAAAUUGUGUUGUAUGUGGUUAUAUAUAUGAAUUUUUUUGGUCAGAGUUUGUAACUGCUGUCAAGGUAAAUAUCAUUUAGUCCAGUAGUUCUCUGUGUGUUGUCCAGCAACCCUUAAAUUCAUUCAAAAGAUCUUCAAAGACAAAACUAUUUUCAUAAUGAUACUAAGAUGAUAUUUGCCUUUUUUACUGUGCUGACAUUUGGAGCAAUGGUGAAAAAGCCAUGUGGGUAAACUCAAAGACAUGUUCCGAUUAAUCAGGUAGUGGCUCCAGACAGUGCCAGUAGUCAUGAUCAUUAUUGCCAUAUACUAGCAGUUAAAAAACAUUGAUUUUUACUUAAGAAUGUCUUUAGUGAAGCAGUAAAAGCUGUUAAUUCUCAACUUGGGCAUGUCUGUUGUGACAAUGGAAAGCAUACCUCGAGUGAUGGAGCAGUGUAUAGUGAGUGAUUGUCUGGAGGAGGGGUGUCAAUGUAGCUGUUUUGAGUUUUGAAAUGAACUAACAGCUCUUUCCAUGGAACUGUGUUUUGGGGGGCUUUCAAAUCUGGUUAUUCUGACCUGGAGAUUUGUUUAGCAUUUAUUUUCUCAAAUGAACAGAUGACCUGUUGCUUUACUGAUCAUUGUUUAUUGUCACUAUAAAAUUUGAACUUUCAGGCAACAGUUUUGGAAAAUAUGUAUCUGUCUUGGGGAUAUUGAGGGCUUCCUAGUACUUCCGAUUAAAUCGGUAGUAAUAUUAAUAAAUACAGUUUUAGAUACUGUGUAAUAAAAUGUGUCAACAUUUGGAAAACCUGCAUUACUCAGCGAAUCAGUGUUUUUACAGUUGACCCGUGCAUGUGAUGUUAUCAAAUCAUUCAUUUUAACAAAUACAAGAAAGAUUGUUGGAUUUUAAUGUUACAGACCAUUGUGUCAUGCUUUGAGAUUCCCCAGAUGUUUAAGAAAUCAUUGUCAAGCUGAGUAUAGUGUUAAAGGGAUAUCCAUAACUACCUGAAAAAUCUAUUAAAAAUUCCUACUUUCCCAACUACAUACCUGAGUGAAGCUGGAUUUUCUUCUUACAUAUAACUGACAAAACACCUUGUCAAAUAUUGAAUACAAAAGCACUUAGGAGAGUCCUCUUUUGUUAAGCCAGAUGUAGGAGAUUGCAACAAUGUAAAGCAUUCUAGUUUGGGGGGGUAUUUGGACAGUGAUAUAGUUACUUUUCUUAACAUUUUUAUAUUGUGUAGAGAAUAUUACUAUUUUGUAGUGAAUAAACAUUUUAAAAUUUGAAAAGUCCUUUCAUGUGCUCAUAUUUUUAAGAGUAUAAGGGAGAUCCUGCCAUCAACAAAAUUUGAUAACUCUCAGUUUGAUCUGUUAAUAAAUAGAUUGCUUUUUAAGGAGUCUCAUGAGCCACAAGAUAAGUGCAGGAUAGUGUACUACCACUUUCAUGUGUGAAUAUCUACAAAGCUUUACUUCUAUAAAGGUGGAGCCUGUGACAAGAGAUUAUUUCAGCUUUCUCCCUUACUGUUUUUUAGAUACCAAAUUAGAUCUACCCUAAGCUCUUUUGUCUGAUCUUGGUGAGGAAGGAUACCUUCAGGACUUUAAAGUACCUAUUUUUAAACUUACCUCUCCGUUACAGAGAUUAAAUGCCAAUAACAUAUUUGCCAACACUUUAGCAUUAAAAAUUUUUAGGAUUUUUUCCCACAGUAUUUCUGCUCAGGUAACAGCAUUAAGUAAUGCUGUUGGAUCCUGAUUUAAUGCCAUUUCUAGGCUUUCUGGUUAUUGUAAGUAAAUUGAUGACCUUGACAUUAGGUGGUAUUUUGAGCCCAGCAUGUAGCCAUUUGAUGUGUUGUCUUGGAAGAAAGGCAUAAAAUUGGCAUGGUAACUGUUUCCCAGCUCUGAUAAUCAAACUAAUAAAAGGACUUUAUUUACUUUUCCUCUGUAAAUCCUGUUAAAGUACAGCAAACUUCUAUUUUUAUAUAAUUGCUGAAUUUCCCAUUUUAACAUUGUCCUAUCAACUGUUGCUUAAAAUUUUACUUUUUUUGUGGCUAUUUUCUACCCUUUUUAAAAUUUCAUCUAAAGCUUCACUCUUGGCAUAUGUGGAAUCCUUGGCAAAUCAUUUUCAAGUAUUCUAUAUGCCAAGUUACCAAUGGUUAUAUUCUUGUGACCAGUUUCUGUUGAUUAAAUUCUCUGUGAACGUUCAAUUAUCAAUUGGGUUUUUCUCUUCUGAAGUCUAAAAGAGCUCAUGAACAAUUCAGACUGUUUAUGACCAAUGACCUUGUUCAGGAAACUUUGCUUUAACCUGUUGUUUUGUUGUGUUUAUGUGCUCACUGAAACUCUUCUAUUAGACUCUGAAUUUUGAAGAAUCAGGAUACUUUUUAUGGUUAUGAUAGGUUUUAUGGGACUAAGAGGGAAUUCUUUCUUAAGAAACCUUGUAGUACUGUUCCUAAUUAGAGGGAUGAAUCUUCUCUAAGAAAUUGGACUUGACAGAUUUAGUGUCUCUCCAUUUCUCUUCUCUAAAUUAGAAACUGUUCUCUUUCAUUGGUCAAAAUGUUAGAAUGAUAUAUUGGAUUUUGGACCAUUUGCACAUUUUAUACUUCAUUCAGAGAAAACUAAACUCGUCAGUGGCCUGUAUUAAAAGAAGCUAGGGCUGAGGAUGUAGCUCCAUAGGAGAAUACUUGUCUAGUAUGCCCAAGGCCCUGUUUUCUAUCCCCAGCACCACACACACACAUACACACAUACACACACACACACA